rnacentral:lncRNA from 10 species
AGCCCUCAUGCUUGCUGUGCACUAUGACCCGCCAGGUAUUGUCAACAUCCUUCUUAAGCAAAAUGUUAAGAGCUCUACUCAAGACAUGUGUGGAUGAGAGGCUGAAGACUUCCCUCUUGUGGGUUGACAAAACGGAGUCUCACUCCGUUGCCAGCCUGGAGUGCGUUGGUGUGAUCUCGGCUCACUGCAUCCUCCACGUCCCAGGUUCGAGCGAUUCUCCUGCCUCAACCUCCCACGUAGCUGGGACUACAGAUUCCACUUCUGCAAGGCUCCACAGAAGUCUCCAACCUUCAAAUCUUCAGUCUCCGAAAGCACCGAUUCCUGAAAGGAUGGCCUCAAAUGACCAAGUAUACGAGCCGUCUAUAUCCCUGCUCCUGAAAAACAAGCUAACUGGACUCUCCAUCACCUUCCCCCAGCACAGACGCACUACCAGCUACGCAGCUGAACUCCAUGACUGA